rnacentral:rRNA from 1 species
UACAGAGGUCCCGAGCGUUGUUCGGAUUCACUGGGCGUAAAGGGUGCGUAGGUGGCAUGGUAAGUUUGAUGUGAAAGCUCAGGGCUUAACCCUGAAAUGGCAUUGAAUACUACUGUGCUGGAGGUUUGGAGGGGGGACUGGAAUUCUUGGUGUAGCAGUGAAAUGCGUAGAUAUCAAGAGGAACACCAGUGGCGAAGGCAGCCCCCUGGGCUGACACUGACGCUCAUGCACGAAAGCGUGGGGAGCAAACAGG